ensembl:lncRNA
CAGGGCGUAAGGGACGCUGACUGCUGUGCCCUCUGCGGAUGGAAAGGACCCCAGGUUUUCUCCCCCGGGAACAAGGCAAGCGCAGUGCGACUGCGCUGUGUUCUGGCGCCACAUCCUCGCGCUUCGUCCGCCGUCCGCCUUGCAAGGCACUCCUGUCCUCGGGCUGAGCUACUGGUCCAGGAUGAACAAACAUGUUGACUUCCAAAUUUGACAAGUUGAUUCUAAAACUUAAACUCUAAAAAAAGUACCUCACUCUCUCAAAGGAAAAGAAUGAAGUGAGGGGAUUUGCAAG